rnacentral:misc_RNA from 1 species
UAAAGAAUGGAUGUUAAAUUCUGUAGGGAGACAUCAUAUUGGUCUCUACUGGAGCACCCACCGAAAGGAAUGGAGAUGGGUAUCGUGAUCGCAGAAAAGAGCGACCGGUGGGAGCCUGAUGUAAUUCAGCGACUUGAAAAUCUUGACAAUCAGAAAGAAAAUGGAUCUGAGGGUAAGGUUGCCGUUCAUGUUCUUCCAAACUCUGGGCACUGGGUUCAUGUGGACAAUCCAAAGGGUCUUCUUGAGAUUGUGGCGCCUAAGAUCGCUUCUCUUCCAGCGUAAGUGCAUAGUCGUAGCUUUUGUUUUAAGGGAUUCAUUAUGAAAGGAGUAUUAUGAUUAUGGUCUUUAUCCCCUAUUGUAAUAAAAUACAAUGACAAUGUUGAUUAAUUGACACAUAUCAUGAUUCAUGAAUAAUCUAAUUUUUUGAUAAAAUAUUUAUCGGCAUUUUAGCUUGUUGCAUAUAGGAAUAUAUAGCCCG